CCAGUGCGCCCGACCCCUGUCCCAGUGGGGCCGCCUCCCCGGGCCACCUGCCUGCUGUGUGGGCUGGAGCCAGCGUCCCUGCGCUGCCCCGAAUGCAACCAGAGUCUCUGCCCCGAAUGCGACCGUCUCUUCCAUAAGCACCCGGCCCGGGCCCAGCACCAGCGCCUGUCCUUGGGGGAGCCAGGCUUGGGGGCUGGGCCCCCUGCACAGAGCCUGUCCUAUGUGCCAUCGAGCCCCCGGUCGCCCGCCGCCGUGCCCCCAAGCCAGCCUGCCCUGGCGCUCGUGCCGCCUGCCGAUGCCCCAGAGGCACAGGGCCGUGCGUGUGCGUGCGGGCGACGGCCCCGGGGCUGCCCUCCACGCCCCCAACGCCGCCCGAU